AUUGAGCGCUGGCGGCAUGCCUUACACCUGCAAGUCGAACGGUAACAGGUCUUCGGAUGCUGACGAGUGGCGAACGGGUGAGUAAUACAUCGGAACGUGCCUAGUAGUGGGUGAUAACUACUCGAAAGAGUGGCUAAUACCGCAUGAGAUCUACGGAUGAAAGCAGGGGAUCGCAAGACCUUGUGCUACUAGAGCGGCCGAUGGCAGAUUAGGUAGUUGGUGGGAUAAAAGCUUACCAAGCCGACGAUCUGUAGCUGGUCUGAGAGGACGAUCAGCCACACUGGGACUGAGACACGGCCCAGACUCCUACGGGAGGCAGCAGUGGGGAAUUUUGGACAAUGGGCGCAAGCCUGAUCCAGCAAUGCCGCGUGCAGGAUGAAGGCCUUCGGGUUGUAAACUGCUUUUGUACGGAACGAAAAGCCCCGGGUUAAUACCCUGGGGUCAUGACGGUACCGUAAGAAUAAGCACCGGCUAACUACGUGCCAGCCGCCGCGGUAA
rnacentral:rRNA from 1 species